GUCCUACGGGACGCAGCAGUGAGGAAUAUUGGUCAAUGGGCGGGAGCCUGAACCAGCCAAGUCGCGUGAGGGAAGACGGUCCUAUGGAUUGUAAACCUCUUUUGUCGGGGAGCAAAGAGGCCACGUGUGGUCAAAAGCGAGAGUACCCGAAGAAAAAGCAUCGGCUAACUCCGUGCCAGCAGCCGCGGUAAUACGGAGGAUGCGAGCGUUAUCCGGAAUGAUUGGGCGUAAAGGGUGCGUAGGCGGCCUGCUAAGUCUGGAGUGAAAGGUACCGGCUCAACCGGUACAGGCUCUGGAAACUGGCG
rnacentral:rRNA from 1 species